AGAUAGCCACCGCUAUAGAACUCUAUACUUUGUAGUUUCCUGGUCAUUUUGUUCUGAUGUUUUGACCCCCUUGCCUAUCUGCCAGGAGAGUGCUUUUUGGAGGGAAGGUUCCAGAGACUGCAAGCAAUCUAUACAUAAAAAUACUAUAUGGUGAAACUCCACUAAUAGUACAGAGUGUGUAGCGUUAAAAUUAAUAUACCACUUACCCCUAGGGGUUAAGCAUCAGAACUGCAGUGCUGAAAAAAUAAAAGACAUAGCACAACACUGCCUGUUGUCAUACAGUAAACAAGUGCUCAAUGG